ACAAGUGCUAGUUGAAUAAGCUGGCACCUUGACGGUACCUAACCAGAAAGCCACGGCUAACUACGUGCCAGCAGCCGCGGUAAUACGUAGGUGGCAAGCGUUAUCCGGAAUUAUUGGGCGUAAAGCGCGCGCAGGUGGUUUCUUAAGUCUGAUGUGAAAGCCCACGGCUCAACCGUGGAGGGUCAUUGGAAACUGGGAGACUUGAGUGCAGAAGAGGAAAGUGGAAUUCCAUGUGUAGCGGUGAAAUGCGUAGAGAUAUGGAGGAACACCAGUGGCGAAGGCGACUUUCUGGUCUGUAACUGACACUGAGGCGCGAAAGCGUGGGGAGCAAACAGGAUUAGAUACCCUGGUAG
rnacentral:rRNA from 1 species